AAUGAACGCUGGCGGCGUGCUUAAGACAUGCAAGUCGUACGAGAAAGUCCCGCAAGGGACAAGUACAGUGGCGCACGGGUGAGUAAUACUUAGGUAACGUACCCAUUUGCUGGGGAUAACCAGGCGAAAGCUUGGCUAAUACCGAAUAAUUCGAAAGAGACCUCGGUCAUUUUCGAUAAAGCCGUAAGGCGCGAAUGGAGCGGCCGAAGUCCUAUUAGCUAGUUGGUGGGGUAAAGGCCUACCAAGGCAAAGAUGGGUAGCUGGUCUGAGAGGAUGACCAGCCACACUGGUACUGGAAUACGGACCAGACUCCUACGGGAGGCAGCAGUGGGGAAUUUUGGACAAUGGACGCAAGUCUGAUCCAGCCAUUCCGCGUGCAGGAUGAAGGCCUUCGGGUUGUAAACUGCUUUUGUACAGAACGAAAAGGCUCUAGUUAAUACCUGGGGCUCAUGACGGUACUGUAAGAAUAAGCACCGGCUAACUACGUGCCAGCAGCCGCCGUAA
rnacentral:rRNA from 1 species